UCUAUAAAGACCUAGAGAAGAUCAACAAGGCCAUACUGAUUAAGAACAAUGAGAGAUAUUCAGGUUGUCCUCGGAACUCACAAACGGCAAAUGAUACCAGCACCACCACCAGUUUCCUGGGUACCAAAUACCGAUGUACCUCAGUCUAGACACCACAUCCUCAGGAAACAGCAGUAACUAUGGGACAUCUCAAUUCCACCAGUGAUGCCCCCCUUUCAUCCACUGCACUUUCACCAGCGGUGCUUUCAGCCACUGUAGUUCCACCAGUGGUUCCUCCCCUUUAUCCAAAAUAUGGUGUUAUACACAGGGACUCCUUUAAGCCACUUGGUAGACCCUGCAUUCCUUUUCAUUCCAUCCCUCCAAUGGAAUGGAAAGGAAUGCAGAAUUCAUCGUGCAUCUUAAAUGUGCCCUAGUUUAUGCUGGAAUAUGGAAAAGUACGGAUCCGCACACACUUUAUCUUCAAGCAGAUGGGGGUUAACCCAAGUUUAUUGUGCCACCACCUUAGUGGUGGCACAAUAAACUUGGGUUAACCCAAGUGUGUGCGGAUCCGUACUUUUCCAUAUUCCUCUAUAAGGGACCUUGCCGGGUCCACGGAGACCCAGCACCACUGGAAGCAGAGGAGUAAAUAUACAGGAGUGCGGUGGUGAGAAUUUUCAUAUACCCUUG